UCUUAAAUUUGAAACCUUUUUUGCAAAUUUAGAGUUUUGAUUAAUUUUCUUAUAUAUUUUCGUAAAUCUGAAAUCCCUCUUUUGAAUUCCAAUUUUGUUUUGCUUCUAUGGAUUUUUACUUCAAUCUUUUGUUUGUUUAGAGUUUUUUGUUUUCUUCAAACCCAAAAGAAAGGGACUACACAUUAUAUGAUUGUGUCUGUCCGGUUUCUAACUUGGGGAGAUGUUGCCUAUGUAAAACAAGCAGGAUGUGAUUAAAAAUCUGUAAGACUUGUAAAAUUAUAUCAGACAAGCAUGAUUUGAUUAAAAUCUGUAAGUCUUGUAAAAUUAUGUAAGACAAGCAUCAUUUUGAUGGAAAUCUGCAAGUCUUGUUAAAUUAUGUAAUGCAAGCAUCAUUUUGAUUGAAAUCUGUAAGACUUGUCUAAUUAUUUAAGACAAGCAUCAUUUUGAUUGAAAUCUGUAAGUCUUGUGUAAUUAUGUAAGACAAGCAAGAUUUGAUUGAAAUCUGUAAGACUUGUUAAAUUAUGAAAGACAAGCAAGAUGAGAUUGAAAUCUGUAAGACUUGUCUAAUUAAUUAAGACAAGCAAGAUUUUGAUUGAAAUCUGUAAGACUUGUUAAACUAUGAAAGACAAGCAAGAUGAGAUUGAAAUCUGUAAGACUUGUAAAUUAUUUAAGACAAGCAAGAUUUUGAUUGAAAUCUGUAAGACUUAUCUAACUAUGUUCAAAGAUUGGAUAAUUGAAUCUAAUCGAUAUAUUGCUGGCUGGGCAGCAUAACUUCAAGUUUCUGCAUAGAACUGCUUUCAUUAAGGCUUUUCUAAUGAUGUCCUAAGAAGGAUAAAUUCAAUGAUCUGCUUUAAAACUCAAUGAUCUGCUUAUUGCUGGGGAUAAAACUCAAUGAUCUGCUUAUUUGAUGGAGAUAAAUUCAAUGAUCUGUUUUAAAACUCAAUGAUCUGCUUAUUGAUGGAGAAAAAUUCAAUGAUCUGCUUUAAAACUCAAUGAUCUGCUUAUUGAUGGGGAUAAAACUCAAUGAUCUGCUUAUUGAUGGGGAUAAAACUCAAUGAUCUGCUUAUUUGAUGGAGAUAAAAACUCAAUGAUCUGCUUAUUGAUGGAGAUAAAACUCAAUGAUCUGCUUAUUGAUGGGGAUAAAACUCAAUGAUCUGCUUAUUGAUGGAGAUAAAUUCAAUGAUCUGCUUAUUGACGGGGAUAAAUUCAAUGAUCUGCUUAUUGACGGGGAUAAAACUCAAUGAUCUGCUUUAAAACUCAAUGAUCUGCUUAUUAAUGGAUAUUAAUUGUCUUUUAUAAGACUUGUCUAAUGAAUUCCGGUUGGGGAAUUCAGUUUUAUGGAUGAAAAUGCCCUUUAUGCCUAGCUCUUGAAGCUAUUCCUGUUAGCGAAGGCACAUCGUUGUGCAACGCUUGAUGGGUCGAGGCUCGAGCAAGGCACUAAAGAGAAAGAGAGAGAUGAGGCACUAAAGGCAAAUCAAUAUAUAUCUCAUUGAGAUAUGAUAUUCAAUGGGACAUCAUGUUCUAACUUACAAUAUUCUGCAUAAAAAAAAAGUCUUUGCAGACUGUAUCUUUCCCUCUUUUAAUCUGGUAAGUGUCUCUUCCGUCUUUUAAAAUAAGGUAUGUUCUUCAUAAUAUUUUUCCUUGAUGGAGUUUGUAGUUCGUUAAUUGAUUACAUCUUUAGAUCACGUAGUCUUUUAUAACUGUUUGCUAUGAGUGAUUUUGAUCCUUUUUUUUAGCUUCAGAAGACCAUGAAAUGGAGUGUGUAAGUGAUCUUCCUCAGGAACCGUAAAGAAGGCAUUGUGUACAUGAGUAAGAUGAACUAAAGGGUUAUUAUCUCUCCAAGUCCACGCGAUUCUAGACAUCUGACUUUGCCAUCCAUUUGUCGUCUAAUACCUCAUUCUCUUCUUUGAAACCAAAGAGGCAUGAUUGGAGCUUUUGUUGCGUGCGUCAUCUUCAACACUCGUAUUUCCAAUGUCUUCUGUCAAUCUGCCGCAACAUCGAUCUCUCCGGCAUCUACUCUAGCGGCAACGAUUUCAAGGUUCUCUACAUAUUUUCUCGCCACUGCGCCGCACACUUGACUUUGAGAAUUGAGAAGAUUCUUAUUUUCUCUCUUUUUUUAUCUGGUGGUUUGUGUAUUUGGCAAUAUGCAGAGUUCAAGGAGUUGCAGAGUUAUAGUGAAGGUCUUUAUCAUGCUUCACUUUUUGGAUUUGGAAGGACAAAAAGGAACACGCAAAGUAAAUAACAUGACCAAUUCAGAGACGCAGUUGCUAAUAAUCACAAGGGAUCAUGUUGCCGACCUAAAAAUUUUGAGGAAACAAGGAACAGUAAAGAAGAAGUAUCCUUUCAAGUAGGAGAAUGAUUAAAGUCGAUAGAACAAAUGAAGAUCCUUUAACAAAAAAAAAAAAAAAAAAAAAAAAAAAGUCGAUAGAACAAAAAAAAAAAGAAGAACAUUCCACCUCGGUGAAUUAAUCACUCAUCUUCUUUUACUGGUGGAUAUUGUUUUAAGCGAUGAGUUACGUAAAUGGUAAUUGUCAUGUCA